rnacentral:lncRNA from 1 species
AAAAAUCCAUGUAGUUUGUAGAUUCUCUCUUGAACUUGGUUUAUACCAUUCUCUUGACUGACUACUUGGUAUUUGUGCGUACUAAUUUAGCUAUUGCUCAUUUAAAUGGUCUUUUCCGAAUAGUCAUAUUAUUUUCAUAGUACUUUUGUUGUCCUUCUUGGUUCAUCUAUCCUUAGACCAUCGUAGGUGUAGUCUCGAGUUUGGCACGUUCAUUUAUAUCUACAGACUUUACUCUGAUUUAGUAAAUACAUUCUGCCUACCCGAUUAGUUCUAGUAGAUUUAAAUGGUUACUUUGUGUUCAAUUGGAAUAUCUCUUUGUUCUCUAGUAGCUAAUUGCCUUGACGUUGAUCAUUUGUCUAAACAAAAGUCUUGUGUGAUGACAAAUUGGUAGGAUUACCCUUAAACCAAGGAAUUACAAAAGCCUUGAUCUUUAAAUGUCCGGAGAAUCUUUCUAACUAUUUCUAGAUCAGUGACUGUCAAGAUGAAUAAAAGUUGUCCCUUUGAAGAUAUAUCCAACACAAAUUAUUUUCUAUGCCAGUUGGAGAUAGUAAUUUGAAAAGACUUACUACUAAAUCCAUUCUCAUCAGUUCAACAUCAUUGCCCAUGCCUGCAUUUUAACAAGUUAGUUCUACGUCCUGACCAACACUUACUCUCCUAAAUGUGAAAAUGGAUUCUCCCAGGUUCUCUUUUGAACUGCCUCGGGUAUAAGUCUUCUAAAUGAGCAUCAUUUGUAGUUUGAUUAUAAUAUGUUUACUAUGAGCAAAUCUGUUAAAAAAAUAUUAAUCCUUUUCUCUUUAUUUUUGAUACAUGUGAAUGCGUUGUGUCUGAGUUCACCAUGAACUCUCGAUUGCAAUUUUUCCAUCGAGUCAAUUUCUAGAAAAGCCCAACAUUGAUCUCAUGGCAUACGGACGCAAGAAGAAUGGACUAAAAAGCUUAUUUUUGAAGCGACGACGAAGCUCGAGCCUCCUUUCUGCUUAUUAAUUUGUUGUCAUUAUUUAUUUGUUUGUUGUCUUAUUUUUUUAUUUCAUUCAUUCGGGCCACGAAGCCAAAGUUGUAUUUAAUACAGGUGGAGCAAGAUUCGAGUCAAAGGCUCGAAAACUAGACUAGGACAAGUGAAAUUGGUCUAAAGCCUAAUUAGACUGGACAGGUCUCGUUGAUUUGGGCCAAUGGCCUAAGUUUCUUACUUCCUCCCCUUCCCCCUCUUCUUUAUACUUGUUUGGCUUAUAUGUUUUGCAAACCUAGUUAAUUCCUUAGUCAAGUCGCUAAAAAUUGAUUUUGCAUAAACACCAAAAUAUUUCUAAAAUUGCC